rnacentral:rRNA from 1 species
GAUGAACGCUGGCGGCGUGCCUAACACAUGCAAGUCGAACGGAAAGACGCGGAGUUUGCCCGGCUGUCGUUUGGCGCACACGUGUGUAAAACAUGUGGAUAAUCUCCCUAUAAGAGUGGGAUAACUUGGAAAACGCGGAGCUAACCCCGGAUAAUAUCUUGAACCGUCUGGUUCAAUGGUGAAAUCCGGCUGUGCUGUCAGUAAUCGAUGGAUUCGCGCUGCAUUAGGUAGUUGGGAGGGUAACGGCUUACUAAGGCGACGAGGCGUAGACGAGCUAAGAGGGUGAUCGGCCACACUGGAACUGAGACACGGACAAGACGACUACGGGAGGCAGCAGUAGGGAAUCUUAGGCAAUGGGUGAAAGCCUGACGCAGCAACGCCGCGUGAGUGAUGAAGGCCUUCGGAUCGGAAAGCUCUGUUAUUAGGGAAGAACCACUGUGUAAGUAACUAUGCAGGGCGUGACGGUACCUAAUCAAAAAGCACCGGCUAACUACGUG